AGCGAACGCUGGCGGCAGGCUUAACACAUGCAAGUCGAGCGGGCACUUCGGUGUCAGCGGCAGACGGGUGAGUAACACGUGGGAACGUACCCUUUGGCUCGGAAUAACGCUGGGAAACUAGCGCUAAUACCGGAUACGCCCUUUUGGGGAAAGGCUUGCUGCCGAAGGAUCGGCCCGCGUCUGAUUAGCUAGUUGGUGGGGUAAUGGCCUACCAAGGCGACGAUCAGUAGCUGGUCUGAGAGGAUGAUCAGCCACACUGGGACUGAGACACGGCCCAGACUCCUACGGGAGGCAGCAGUGGGGAAUAUUGGACAAUGGGCGCAAGCCUGAUCCAGCCAUGCCGCGUGAGUGAUGAAGGCCUUAGGGUUGUAAAGCUCUUUUGUCCGGGACGAUAAUGACGGUACCGGAAGAAUAAGCCCCGGCUAACUUCGUG
rnacentral:rRNA from 1 species